rnacentral:rRNA from 1 species
AGAGAGCCGUCGAAGGUGAAGUCGAUGACUGGGGUGAAGUCGUAACAAGGUAGCCGUAUCGGAAGGUGCGGCUGGAUCACCUCCUUUCU